AACGAACGCUGGCGGCAGGCCUAACACAUGCAAGUCGAACGCUCCGCAAGGGGAGUGGCGCACGGGUGAGUAACACGUGGGAACCUACCUUCUGGUACGGAACAACCAAGGGAAACUUUGGCUAAGACCGUAUACGACCUCCGGGUGAAAGAUUGAUCGCCGGAGAGGGGCCCGCGUCCGAUUAGGUAGUUGGUGAGGUAACGGCUCACCAAGCCUUCGAUCGGUAGCUGGUCUGAGAGGAUGACCAGCCACACUGGGAC
rnacentral:rRNA from 1 species